UACAGAGGGGGCAAGCGUUGUUCGGAAUUACUGGGCGUAAAGGGCGCGUAGGCGGCCCGCUAAGUCGAACGUGAAAUCCCCGAGCUCAACUCGGGAACUGCGUCCGAUACUGGUGGGCUUGAAUCCGGGAGAGGGAUGCGGAAUUCCAGGUGUAGCGGUGAAAUGCGUAGAUAUCUGGAGGAACACCUGUGGCGAAAGCGGCGCACUGGACCACAUCUGACGCUGAGGCGCGAAAGCUAGGGGAGCAAACAGG
rnacentral:rRNA from 1 species